CGCAUUGCAAACAAUUGCAAAAUUGCAAAAUCUUAGUGGCCUGCAGCAAAAAGCAUUUAUUUCUCUCAUCUAGGCAGGGCUUGGCUGGACAGCCGUGCUGACCUUGGCUUGGACUAGCUCACACACCUGCUCCGUGGGUCUCCCAUCAUUCUAGUGGACCCAGUGGGCAGCCCGGAUAUGUUCUUCUCAUGUCAAUGGCAGAGGCAGGAGAGCAAGGAAGCCCAGCCAAUUCAACUAGAGAGAAAUUGAGAAGAAGCAUCCACUGAAGUAUCACAUGGCUUCUUAGAAUUUAUUACACAUUGUUAUUGGGUCACAGUAUGUGAAAACAUGGAGACCGAGAAUACAGAACUGUGUAGAAGUGAAUGAGUCUGCCACCUCUCCUUGUACCUAUCCACUGUGAAACAAGGGCGUUCAUGCACACGUUACUGUAAAUGCCCUGGAGGCCUUAUGAAUAAUCAUUGGAGCAGUAUCUGCUGCAAGAUAACAUUGUGCUUUAUUUUUGCCUUUAAGUAAAAGGAAUCUGAAAUGAAACAAUCUUCAUUUCAGAUAUAAAUCAGCCCCAUAAACUUGAAGCUAACCAGAGAUCCUGAGGCAUUCUCAUUACAUGAAGUAAUUGGUUGGUUGCAAGACUCAAUUGUACUGCAAAGUCUUCCUGAGAAUUCAGAUGAGCAGUUAUCUGAAGAGUUACACAUCCUCUCACCCGACAUGUUGUAGGAACACAUAGCAUUGGCCAGUGGGGCGAAUGAUUUCUAGUCUCUGAUGAGGCCGGAACUCUCCAGCAAGUGGGCCUAUGACUGAGAAACCCCGGGCAACUUUGAGGUCCCUUUGAGGAAAUGAAACUUCAUCAAAAGCAGCCAAUAUUAAUGAUAUAUUGAGCAUCUAUUGUGUACAUCCAGUCUUCUAGUCUCCUUGGUGACAUUCAUCUUAUUUAACCUUCCCAGUAAAUCAGCAAAAUAAGUACCAUUACCCUCUUUUAUGGAAUAAAACUAAAACUCACAGAGGUUGAGUAACUUUUGAAUCACUCAACCUUCUCAACGCAUGAAGAAAAAAUCCGACCCAAACAAGAGACAUUGGAGAGGCUUAUUCUUCUUUUUUCGACUUUUUUAACACCAAUAGAAAACGAAGACAGCUGUUCAGCAGAUAUAGCAAGAGGGAGGCUGAGAGGUCUUUCAUCAGGAGGCACGGUGUGAGCAGGUGCAAGAAACCUGAAUCUUAAUCCUGAAAUGGAGAAAGCCAAGAACGUCCUGAUCUAAACUACAGAGCCCUCAGAAGACUCAGAACAACACACAAGUUCUUGGGAAGCUACUGGAGGAUGUGUGUCAUCAAAACAAGGGAAUCAGCAGUCCUGUAUCUAUGAAGAAACAACUGGAAAUGAUAGGUUCUUGAAUUCCAAUUUUCUUUUAGGGCUCACAUUCUCCUCUGUUAAGUGCAUUCCCAAUCAGCUUCUUUCCUCAGGUUGGAAAGUGGCUGCCAGCAGCUACCAAGGUGCUAUCCUUCCAGAUUCACAUCCUGCAGAAAGAGCAUGAGAUUCCUGGCAGAAGAUUUGAGAUGCACUCAAAGUAUACUGGCUGAAGUCGGGCCUUAAGUCUGGAUGGGAUGCCCCUUUACCUGCUCCCAUUGGGUCCCGUACUUCCACCUUCAUAACACUAACAAUGCUAGAGUGUGGCAGCUCUCAAAGUGUCAUCCUCCAGCAGCAUCAGUAUCACCUACCUGGACAUUUCACAGAAAUGCAGAUUCUCUGGCUCCACCCACAUCCUCUGAAUCAGAAACUGUUGUGUGUGUGUGUGUGGGGGGGGGGGGUUCCGCAAGAUAUCUGUGCUUUAACAAGCCCUCUAGAAGAUUCUGAUGCACUCCCAGCUUGAGAACUCUACUUGCUCUAAUGCGAUUGCCUGUUUACUGUUGGGAUCCCACACCAGAUGUAAGCACCAGGAGGCAGGGCCGCAUCUGUUCCAUUCAACACUGUAUCUGCCAAGCCCACAGUAGGUGCUCUCCUAAUUCUAUGUGGUAGACUUCAAAAGACAAAGAAAGUGUUAUUCUCACUGGCUCUGGCCUGGACCAAGAGAAUGCAGAAAUGGCUUCCAUUCUGUGAGCUGUGACUUCUAACGUGGCCACAUAGCUGGUGGAGAGGUGACAACCUUCAUCUCCAAGGAUCCCCUGCACUGCUUGCUUUAUGCCCAGAGCAACCUCAUGCUGACAAGGACUGCACAGUUUUGAACACCCAUGCUCCAAUCAAAAGAAACCAAUUUGUGAGAGACGAUAUAAAUCCAUGAAUACUGCACUGAAACCUCUUUCUGCUCCAGGCAGAGAAGAUAAAUUACCACCCGAGUGAUAUAAAGUUAGUUUGAAUAUUUCAUUGGAUCAAAUGCAACAUGUCUCAGAACCUCUCCUCUUUUAAGUCAGAAUUAAAGAAUUGUUAUCAGGCAUAAUAAUAGACACUAUCAUUUGCAUACAUUUUAUCUCAAGAGACUUUUGAAGUUAUGCAAUACGCCAGUGGUUAAUUGUUCUUCACACUCCUGACAUAUCAAAUUACAGCUCAGAUGAGAGAGCAACCCAUUUGUGACUGGAAUGAUUGGCAGGAGCCUACAAGGAGAGCAUCUUCGAGGACUGAAGGAGGAGUAUCUUUUCAGGCUUUUCCAUGGAGACCUUGGAGACCAUGGGUUCUAGAUGGUUCUGUUAUAACAUGAUGGAGACUUCAUUAGUCUGGGUUCCUAGACGAGUGUGAAACACUUUCCCCACUGAUUGAAUUACAAUUAUAAUGUGAAAGAAAAAUAAAUCUUUAUUGUGUAAAACUACUGAAAUAUCAGAGUUACAAUACUGUAGUGUAGCAAAUUCUGGCAAAUACUUCCCAGCAUAUUUUCAAUUCCAUUUCAUUGGCCAAGCCUAGAUGAUAUGGUCACCUAUAGCUGAAGGAAGGCUGGGAAAGAUGGAAGAGGAUUGCUUAUUUGGCUUAAAAGAAUCAUGGUCUGCCCCCUGAGGCUGUUCUGACCCAGAAAAAAGUUGAGGUUCUAUUACACGGAAGCAAGAUAUUAGGUAGGCAACUUUCAGUGUCUGCCAAAUCACCAGACACUAUUCAGGCUAAACAAGGAAGAAGCUAAAGCCAAAAA
rnacentral:lncRNA from 1 species